rnacentral:misc_RNA from 1 species
GAAGUGCGAUAAGCAAUGCGAAUUGCAGAACCGUGAGUCAUCAGAUUUUUGAACGCAACUGGCACCGCAGGGUCCUCCCUUCGGUAUGUUUCUUUCAGUGUGUUUUUUUUUCUCACCCAAAUCAUAAUGCGACAGAUACCCUUCUGUUGUUAAGCUCGAAAGCACUCUACGCUCUGCGGUGGCCGCUUCGGUGGCUACACUCAAUGCAGACGUCACAUUCUUCAAUGUGAACUCAUUGAGAGUAGAGGUAGUGCAGUUUACUGCCAGUGCUUAGACACUCAAAUUUUAACCAGCAUCUGAAAUGAAAUAAGACUACCCGCUGAACUUAA